GUGACCAUUCUCAGGCGGGCCACGUG
rnacentral:rRNA from 1 species